AGGGAGGCUCGAAAGGGGGGGUAGCAAACAGGAUUAGAUACCCUGGUAGUCCACGCCGUAAACGAUGUCUACUAGUCGUUGGGUCCCUUGAGGACUUAGUGACGCAGCUAACGCAAUAAGUAGACCGCCUGGGGAGUACGGCCGCAAGGUUAAAACUCAAAUGAAUUGACGGGGGCCCGCACAAGCGGUGGAGCAUGUGGUUUAAUUCGAUGCAACGCGAAGAACCUUACCUGGUCUUGACAUAUCUAGAAUCCUGCAGAGAUGCGGGAGUGCCUUCGGGAAUUAGAAUACAGGUGCUGCAUGGCUGUCGUCAGCUCGUGUCGUGAGAUGUUGGGUUAAGUCCCGCAACGAGCGCAACCCUUGUCCUUAGUUACCAGCGGGUUAAGCCGGGAACUCUAAGGAUACUGCCAGUGACAAACUGGAGGAAGGCGGGGACGACGUCAAGUCAUCAUGGCCCUUACGACCAGGGCUACACACGUGCUACAAUGGUAGGUACAGAGGGCAGCUACACAGCGAUGUGAUGCGAAUCUCAAAAAGCCUAUCGUAGUCCAGAUUGGAGUCUGCAACUCGACUCCAUGAAGUAGGAAUCGCUAGUAAUCGCGGAUCAGAAUGCCGCGGUGAAUACGUUCCCGGGCCUUGUACACACCGCCCGUCACACCAUGGGAGUUGAUUGCACCAGAAGUGGAUAGCUUAACCUUCGGGGAGGCGUUCACCACGGUGUGGUUGAUGAAGGUAGUGAAGUAUUAGCGAGGCAGUACUACCA
rnacentral:rRNA from 1 species